UACGUAGGAUGCAAGCGUUGUCCGGAAUUAUUGGGCGUAAAGAGCGCGCAGGCGGUCUAUCAAGUCAGAUGUGAAAUAUCCGGGCUUAACCCGGAGGGGUCAUUUGAAACUGGUAGACUAGAGUACAGCAGAGGAUAGCGGAAUUCCCGGUGUAGUGGUGAAAUGCGUAGAUAUCGGGAGGAACACCGAUGGCGAAGGCAGGUCUCUGGGCUGUAACUGACGCUGAGGAGCGAAAGCAUGGGGAGCGAACAGG
rnacentral:rRNA from 1 species